AACGCGAAGAACCUUACCUGGGUUUGACAUCCCAUGAAAAGCGCAGAGAUGCGUAAUAGUCGCAAGACACAUGGAGACAGGUGCUGCAUGGCUGUCGUCAGCUCGUGUCGUGAGAUGUUGGGUUAAGUCCCGCAACGAGCGCAACCCUUUCCCUUAUUUGCCAGCAUUUAGUUGGGCACUAUAGGGGUACUGCCGAUGAUAAAUCGGAGGAAGGUGGGGACGAGGUCAAGUCAUCAUGGCCCUUAUGUCCAGGGCAACACACGUACUACAAUGGCCAAGACAAAGCGAAGCAAUAUCGAAAGAUGGAGCCAAUCGCAAAAACAUGGUCUCAGUUCGGAUUGUGGUCUGCAACUCGACCACAUGAAGUUGGAAUCUCUAGUAAUCGCAGAUCAGCAGGCUGCGGUGAAUACGUUCCCGGGCCUUGUACACACCGGAGUGC
rnacentral:rRNA from 1 species